UACGGGGGGGGCAAGCGUUGUUCGGAAUUACUGGGCGUAAAGGGCUCGUAGGCGGCCAACUAAGUCAGACGUGAAAUCCCUCGGCUUAACCGGGGAACUGCGUCUGAUACUGGAUGGCUAGAGUUUGGGAGAGGGAUGCGGAAUUCCAGGUGUAGCGGUGAAAUGCGUAGAUAUCUGGAGGAACACCGGUGGCGAAGGCGGCGUUCUGGACUGUUUCUGACACUGAAAAACGAAAGCCAGGGGAGCAAACGGG
rnacentral:rRNA from 1 species